rnacentral:rRNA from 1 species
UACGGAGGGGGCUAGCGUUGUUCGGAAUUACUGGGCGUAAAGCGCACGUAGGCGGCUUGGUAAGUUAGAGGUGAAAGCCCGGGGCUCAACCCCGGAAUUGCCUUUAAGACUGCAUCGCUUGAAUCCAGGAGAGGUGAGUGGAAUUCCGAGUGUAGAGGUGAAAUUCGUAGAUAUUCGGAAGAACACCAGUGGCGAAGGCGGCUCACUGGACUGGUAUUGACGCUGAGGUGCGAAAGCGUGGGGAGCAAACAGG